rnacentral:lncRNA from 1 species
GCAAAAGCACCCCACCACCAAAAACUAUAUCAAACGGCCCUUGCAGCACAACUAAAGAGUUUACAUCAUUCAUAUAAGGCAAAACAACAAUGGAAUAAAUAGACAUAAAACUAACCUAAUUAUCUAACAUAGAUAUAUUGUAACUAGCAAAAGAAUUCGCAACAUGGUUUGCAUUUCGGCCAACAUGAAGAAUGUUGAAAGACUCUAGAUCUCUGAGUCUCCACCUAAGCAUUUUCUCCCUCUCAAUAACGUUUUGCAUAGCUCUAACUAAGGCCAAAACACCCCCACAAGUUUCCUAAACUAAAAUAUUGCAGUCAUUGAGAACCAUCUCAUUCCUUCGCUACCAAAUACAAUCAAUGGUAACCCCGACCCCAAGACCCGGCUCCUCCAGUAAAAACCAUUUAAACUUUUAGAAGUUGUAAUAUUUAGCUUAAUCCAUGUAGUCAGAUUCGUGCGCAAAGAUCCCAAACACAAGACAAGACCUUAACCACCUUGGCUACCACAAUCACGAAUGGCAUGGGCAAUAGUUUCAAUAACAACACCACACAAAGGAUAGGUUGCAAUUUGCGUCACAUGCCUCUUUGCCUGCAACUCAUUAACAUGAAGAAUCCUCCUACGAACCUGCCACAAUAGAAAUCUAAUAUGCUUUGGCUCGGGACAAGACCAAUAGCUUUAAGGUAGUCCCUGUUAAAUCAAAAUGCAUUUAUGUCUUAGGAUGAAUCAUAAUUCUUAAUUAUUUUUAUUAGAUGUAAAUAAAUAAAAAGGUUAAAAGUUGUGUCUUAUGUACAACAUUUAAGAAUAUAUUUAAGGCUUCAUUUAAUAUUAUGUGUCUGAGAUUCGUUUUGUAGGAAUUGUCUUAUAAGACAUUCUCCUAAGAUAUGUCGAAUCACAUGAAGAAGUCCAAAUGCUUUGGAGUUGUCAAACAGUAUGAAAAGACACACGCUACUAUGAUAAACAUGCUUUGACGAAAAAAAGUGAUUUUCCUGUUGAAGUGUUCUUCACAAAAGUUAAAGAAAGUGGUUUUCUAGCAUGAAGGGAACAUGCAUUUAAUGCUCCAAGAGCACAAUAUUCAGACAAGAGCUCAAGUGAUAAAUCUAUCCAUUUAGAGACAAUUGACACUUGAAGAAGAGGCCCAUAAAUACCAGAAACUUUGAAUAAAUGAAAAUGAAUCUACACACUAACAUUUGAAUUCUCUCUAUAAAAAGCUUUUUGUAUAUUCUUGUAAAGCUCAAAAGCCCUUAAAACAUUUUGAACAUCCUGAGAAAAAAGACUAAAAGCUUAGAGAUCAUAUUCGUCUGUAAGACAAUUAAGUUUUAGUUAGUGAGCAAACAAACUUUGAAUCUUUUGAUUUGUUUAGAGACAACAACGACUUGGUGGUACAAAGAAUACUGAGUUGUUCUUAAGCUUGGUGUAAAACUUGGUUUGUAGAGGCAAAAGUGACAAUGACAAAUACUUGUAACUUUGAGAAGUUAGUGAAACUUAAUGGUUUACCAAGAACUAGACAUAGUCAUUAUGGUUGAGACAAACCAGUAUAAAUAUGUGUGUCUUAUAGUUCUUUUCUGCUCUCUUUGUGUUUAAAUUGACCUAGAGUUUGAAUCUAAUUUUGUUUUGAUAAAUAUGAUCUAUUCAUGAAAAUUGUUUCUAUUGUUUGAUUUUGUUUAGUGCAAAAAUCUAUUAUCUAAUUUUAAAGUUAUUUUAGACGAUAACUUUGUAUUAGUUUGUAGGGAUAAUCAUUGAUCCUAAAGCAGUUGAAGCAGAUUGUUAAGGUUUCGAAAAGGGGUUACCUGCAGAUGGUUCUGACCAAUAAGGAUAUUAAGUGAAGUGUCACCGUGUGAAGUACUGUAGAAUGUGAGUCGUCAAGAAAUCGACAAUUAGGGAUGUUAUAAGUAGAGCAUGAUAACAUGUCUAGAUGUCCUCAAACUAAGACCCCCAAAUAGUUUGGGAUGCCACACCUCCUUCCAAUUUAACCAAUGAACCUUCUUAUUAGUAUAUGAAUCCCCCAAACAAGGUUCCUAUACUUUUGAUCAAUCUCGUGACAUAUCGAGCGAGACACAAGGGAGGUUUGCUAUACAAACUUAACCAAUGUUAGAUGACCAACAAAGGAAAGGCUACACACCUUCCAAUUGCUUAUAUAAUCUUUGAUUGACCUUAUCCAUGAGAGACCUGAAGGGCUCCCUUGAAGCCCUCUGGUAAUGAAGGGAAACUCCAAGCUACUUUCCUAAAUCUAAUGUCCUUUGGAAACCCAACU